rnacentral:rRNA from 1 species
UACAGAGGUCGCAAGCGUUGUCCGGAUUCACUGGGUGUAAAGGGUGCGCAGGCGGAUCGGCAAGUCAGAGGUGAAAUCUCACAGCUUAACUGUGAAACUGCCUUUGAUACUGCUGAUCUUGAGUUCGGGAGAGGUUGAUGGAAUUCUAGGUGUAGCGGUGAAAUGCGUAGAUAUCUAGAAGAACACCAGUGGCGAAGGCGGUCAACUGGCCCGCAACUGACGCUCAUGCACGAAAGCGUGGGGAUCAAACAGG